rnacentral:rRNA from 1 species
GUUCUUAAAGCAUUAAAUGGAUUCCUAAACAUUAAAAUUUAUAUGGACGUUUACUGACGAAAUGUUAUGGUGAGUAAAAUUUUUGCUGUGAUCUAAAACUAUCCAUAUGUAGAAAACUAUACUUUGUUAGAUAAAAGUGUAUUUUAAUAUAAUUAAAAUAUAAAAACUUAGUGAACUGAACCAUCUAAGUAACUAAGCAAAAAAAUCAACUGAGAUGCCGUUAGUAGUGGCGAGCGAAACCGGUAGGGGCCAAAAAUUUUUUUUUAGUCUAAUUAUCUAUAAGCCAAAGAAGGUUAAGCCCUGUAAGGCAAAGAAAAAAAAUUUUAAAUUAGUAAAAUGGUACAAGUCGUGUACUGUUUGAAUAUUGGGGGACCACCCUCAAAGCCUAAAAAUUUUAAUGAUUGAUAGUGAACUAGUACUGUGAAGGAAAGGUGAAAUAGAAUUUGCGAAAAUUGAAAAGAUAAUGAAAUUUAAUGCUGACAAUCAGUUAGAGCCUCGUUUAAGGUGAUAACGUACCUUUUGUAUAAUGGAUCAACAAGUUUAUUUUAGUGGCGAGCUUAACUGCUUUAACAGGUAGGCGUAAAGAAAUUGAGUAUUAAAAUGCGUUUUAAGUCUCUAAAAUAAAACCCGAAACUAAGUGAUCUAACCAUGAACAGGUUGAAUUUAAAGCGGUAACGCUUAUUGGAGGACCGAACCCGUGUAUGUAGAAAAAUACUGGGAUGAUUUGUGGUUAGGAGUGAAAGGCUAAUCAAACUUAGAGAUAGCUGGUUUUCUGCGAAAUCUAUUUAAGUAGAGCGACUAAAUAACUUUAUUUUUAGGUAGAGCUCUUGUUAAGCAAUGGGGAUGAAAAUCUUACUGAGUUUAGUGAAACUUCGAAUAAAAAAUAAAAGAUUUUAGUUAGACAGACUAUGAGUGCUAAGAUUCAUAGUCAAGAGGGAAACAGCCCAGAUUAAUGGUUAAGGUCCUUAAAAAUAAUUAAGUGAAGAAAAUGUUAAUAGAUGUUGACAACCAGUAGGUUUGCUUAGAAGCAGCAAUCCUUUAAAAAUAGCGUAAUAGCUUCCUGGUCUAGUUUAUUUGCGUUGAAAAUGUAAAGGGACUUAAAUUAUUUACCGAAGCCGUAAAUUUAUUGUUUAUAACAGUAAAUGGUAGCAGAACGUUCUGUAAGUCAACGAAGAUUUAUGGUAACAUAAGUUGGAGAUAUCAGAAGUGAGAAUGUUGAUAUGAGUAGCGAUAAACAGUGUGAAAAACAUUGUCGCCUUAAGUCUUAGGUUUCCAAAACAAGGCUAAUCCGUUUUGGUAUAGUUAAUCGGUCUCUAAGAGCAUAACGAAAGUUUAUCCUCGAUGAGUAAAAUAUAAUUAUUAAUUAUAAGUGACAAAUUAGGAAUGUAAUUUAUAUUGUAUGGUUAAAAUAUAAGUUGUAUACUAAUUUCAAGAAAUAGCUUCUAGUUGUUAAAACCGUACCUUAAACCGACACAGGUAGACAAAUUGAGCAAAUUAAGGCGCUUGAGUUAAUUAUGUUGAAGGAACUCGGCAAAAUGACUUCGUAACAUUGGAUAAGAAGUAACUUUAUUAGGGCAACCUUUUAAAGCUGACACAAAAUCGGGGACAGCGACUGCUUAAUAAAAGCACAGGUCUCUGCUAAUUUGUAAAAAGAUGUAUUGAGACUGACGCCUGCCCAGUGCUGUAAGAUUAAAAAAGAAAGUAUUUUGCUUUUUUUCUAACUCCCAGUAAACGGCGGCUGUAAUUCUGACGGUCCUAAGGUAGCGAAAUUCCUUGGCAUUUAAUUGGUGUCCUGCAUGAAUGGCGUAACGACUGUCCCACUGUCUCCAGCAUAAGCUCAGUGAAAUUGAAAUUUCCGUGAAGAUGCGGAAUACCUGCGGCUAGACGGAAAGACCCCGUGCACCUUUACUAUAAUUAUGCAUUGAGGUAAAAUUUGUUAUGUAUAGAAUAAGUGGGAGUUUAAGUAAACUGUCUAACAGUUUAUAUUACAAAAUCUUUGCGUAAGCAAAUCAUUUUAAACAAAAGUGAAAUACCACUCUUAGCAUUUUUUAUUUCUAAUUGUAAAACACAGUGUAUAAUGGGUAGUUUGACUGGGGCGGUCGCCUCCUAAAGAGUAACGGAGGCGCAUAAAGGUAAAUUUAAAUUGAAUUUAACAAUUUGUACGCGUAAUAGUAUAUGUUUGCUUGACUGUAAGAUUGACAAAUCAAGCAGGGACGAAAGUCGGUUAUAGUGAUCCGAUGAUUCUGUGUGGAAAUGAUCAUCGCUCAACGAAUAAAAGGUACGCCGGGGAUAACAGGCUAAUCAUUCUCUAGAGACCCUAUCGACGGAAUGGUUUGGCACCUCGAUGUUGGAUUAUCGCAUCCUGGAGCUGUAAGUGGUUCCAAGGGUUUGGCUGUUCGCCAAGAAAAGCGGUACAUGAUCUGAGUUUAGAACGUCGUGAGACAGUUUGGUCCCUAUCUACCGUGGGUGUUGAAAAUUGAGAGGACUAGACCCUAGUACGAGAGGACUGGGAAAAGCGAAUCUCUGGUGAAACGAUUGUUAGACCAAUAGCACCGUCGUGUAGCUAAAUUCGUAAUAAAUAAUCGCUGAAAGCAUCUAAGCGAGAAAUUAACCUCAAAACUAGUUUUUAAAAAUAUGUAAAAGAUUAUUACAUAGAUAGGCUUAAAGUGUAAGAAUUGUAAAAUUUUUAGCUGAUAAGUACUAAAAUAAUUAUUAAUCAACUUUUUAAC